rnacentral:rRNA from 1 species
UGAGCAAUCUGCCCUUCUCUUCGGAAUAAGCGUUGGAAACGACGUCUAAUGCCGAAUACGACCUCCUUUCGCAUGAUCGGAGGUGGAAAGCUCCGGCGGAGAAGGAUGAGCUCGCGGCCUAUCAGCUAGUUGGUGUGGGUAACGGCCCGCCAAGGCGACGACGAGUAGCCGGCCUGAGAGGGUGACCGGCCACACUGGGACUGAGACACGGCCCAGACUCCUACGGGAGGNAGCG